GACGAACGCUGGCGGCGCGCCUAACACAUGCAAGUCGAACGAGCGAGAGAGAGCUUGCUUUCUCGAGCGAGUGGCGAACGGGUGAGUAACGCGUGAGGAACCUGCCUCAAAGAGGGGGACAACAGUUGGAAACGACUGCUAAUACCGCAUAAGCCCACGACCCGGCAUCGGGUAGAGGGAAAAGGAGCAAUCCGCUUUGAGAUGGCCUCGCGUCCGAUUAGCUAGUUGGUGAGGUAACGGCCCACCAAGGCGACGAUCGGUAGCCGGACUGAGAGGUUGAAGGGCAACAUGGGAGGGAGGCCAGGGCCAGGCCCCCUACGGGAGGGGGAAGGGGGGAAUAGUGCAAAGGGGGGGAACCCUGGAGGCAGCGAGGCGGGGGGAAGGAGGAAGGUUUUGGAAUUGAAAUCUCUUUGUGUUGAGGAAGAAAAUGAGGGUACAAAACAAGAAAGAGACGGCUAACUACGUG
rnacentral:rRNA from 1 species